rnacentral:rRNA from 1 species
UAAUACGGAGGGUGCAAACGUUGCUCGGAAUCAUUGGGCGUAAAGCGAACGUAGGCGGCUUUGUAAGUCGGGUGUGAAAGCCCUCGGCUCAACCGAGGAAGUGCAUUCGAAACUGCAUGGCUAGAGUAUCGGAGAGGAUAGCGGAAUUCCCGGUGUAGAGGUGAAAUUCGUAGAUAUCGGGAGGAACACCAGUGGCGAAGGCGGCUAUCUGGACGAAUACUGACGCUGAAGUUCGAAAGCGUGGGGAGCAAACAGGAUUAGAUACCCUGGUAGUCCACGCCGUAAACGAUGAGUGCUAGGUGUCGCGGGUAUUGACCCCUGCGGUGCCGCAGUUAACGCAUUAAGCACUCCGCCUGGGGAGUACGGUCGCAAGACUA